UAACAGUGUCUUUUAUUUGCCCGUUGAGUUGUAUGUUCAUGUUUGUUCCUGUAAUCCUCGAAAUGCUGUACUUCGUACACACCAUUUCGUCUUUGCAGUGUGUGUCACCACAAGAUAAGAAAAUGAAACUGAAGUUUCUGUCACUGGCCAACCGAAGCUGGGACUGCAAGACUUUUUCACUCUGUAAAUAUUAGCCAGCUAUUUGAAGCCAUGCUGUCCAUGAAGAAUAUUAACUAUGUACCAGGAAUCAAGCCAUAAUGUAAACCCAGUUUGUUUGGCAAAAACAGUACAUAUUGUUCUGCUCCAAGGGGAGAAACACGGGGGCGGGAAAACCUAGCUCCUCCCAAAACGACGAUAUUUGUAAGUUAGAAUGUUCGGUCGUACUAAUUGCAGGAGCAAAACCAAUAAUACGAGCAAAACUGCAUUGAUGAGGGUGUCAUGUGGUCCAAGGCCACCCUCAAAACCAGAUUUGCUGUUUACUGAUCAGCAAAGGACGGAGCCAGAUGUGAGGCGAAGCAGUUUGCUACCCUCCAGAACACACCUGGCUCCCUGAGACUGAGUACACUCUACAUGCCUGAGCAGAUCCAGUAUUUUAUUAUAUUACUAGUUUGUCUUUACUGGUCUUUGUAUGAAGUGAGAAGUAGCUCAGCAAGGUCUACAGGCUGUUAGCGAGAAGUUGCCUGUGAGACCCCCCCAUGCUGGUGAGCUGUGGGGACGCUCCACACUCUGAGCAAUUCUUGAAACAGCUCAUUAAGAGUGGCACAGAAUUGCCCACUGAAUCUGUCCUUGGGCUCUCUAAUGAAAAGUUGGUUAUUAUUACAGGAAUUUUAGUAUUGCAGGAAUAUUACAGAGUGAGGAUUUAUCUGUGCCUGCAAAAGCACGCUUCAUACGUGUCUUCUUGAAACCACCUCCUAUUGAAAGCAUAUCUUUGCUGAAAUCAUUAGUUAGAAAUAUUUCUAGUACAACUAUGUCCCACCUCUUCUUAUCUCAGUUGACACAGCUGUCGGUUAAAGUUGGUUAUUUGGGGUUUUUUUACAGAUGCAUAUAGGGGUUUUGCUGAUAUAAAACCCACACUGAAAAGCCUCUAGACUAGACCUACAUGUAGCACACCUGGCCUGAGAAUCACCAGCAACUGAUAAUUAAAGAUGUUUUGCUGGAUAGUUGUGAAGUUAUAGUAUGACCUGAGAAAAUAUAUCAAGCUUUGCAAGACAGUCCUGGCAGCUUGUAAUUUCCGUAACAUUUUCAUUGUGAUGAGUUCAUCUUUACAAGAAGGCAGACAGACUGCAAACAGCAAUGAGCCAGGAUCAAAGGCUAACAACAGGGAAGAAAGUGUUGAAUCCACAUAUUCCCGCCUUUGUCAAUCUACACUAAAUACCAUGGCAUAAAAACCAGAUCUGUGAAAUAUUUUGGACAAUAUUAUCAAACCCAGUAUUUGGUAUGUGGAUAUAACACCCAAAGGUGUGACAGAAGGCUUUUGGGAAGCACAUCUUUAUUUACACUGACUGUAACUAGCUGGGCUACCGGUAAGAGCCUGACCACAGCAGCUUGUGUUCCUGGUGCUAAAGACUUGCCAAGUUCCCACAAAGGCUUGUAUAGUCUUUCAAAAUCCCACGUUGUCACAGCUAGAUUGUUACUGGUACCCGAGUUGACGUGCCACCAGCUCACCCUCUGAAAUGACAUCUUGGUGGGUCUUGGAAGAUUGAAGGACGCGAAACCCAGAUAUAUUUUACUCUGGCACUUCUGUGUCAUCUUCAGCUACCCAGGCAGAUAUUUGCUACUGUUCUAUGUUACCUGUGACUGGACAACGUUUUGCUGGGCAAGAUUCUGGGUUGCUACAGAAAGUGUCUCUGCAGAUCCAUUCAAUCAAGCAAGGCUCCAGUGACAAGACUCAAGGAACAUAAAUAAUUCACAUUUUUGCUGGGCUGCUCUCUGUGCCUUUCCUACAAGCAGACUGGCGGCUCAAAGGAAAGCAGCUGUGAUGAGCUGGAACUCAUACUAGAGAGUUAAAGGCUGGACAAGAAAAUCCAUGCAUGGGUCAGAAAAAACUAUUUUUGCAGUCACAUGAGCUUCUGUGGUCAUUAAAUAAAAUUGUUGCUAGCUCAACUGCAGAAACGCUUCCGAGAAACACAUCUGUCCUUAUCCCAGGCUGGACAGCCCUCCUGUAUAAAAUAAUAAAAAAAAAAAAAAAUAAAGACCCACAGUGGGCCGGACUCUGCAUCCACUUACACUGGAGUAACCAUACAGAGGGUGGGGGGACUGCAGCAUUAUCAGCGCACGAUCUUUUGUUAUCCGGACUCUUCCCCCAUUCUUAAACAGGAUUUUCCUGUUGCUGUGUGUGGGCUGGAAGGUUUAACUGCAGCCUGACUCUUCCUACUGCUAUGACUGCAGUUGUCUCCUGGGAAUCUUUAUGGAUAUUGAGUAAGGAGGCAUAAACCUGCCCGGCAGAGUAGUAUUGGCGCUCUGCAAACCCAGCCUUUCUAGGGGGCAGCUGUCUUCAUCGCCAAAGAGCCAAGUGAGCAACCGUCCCCCUCAACCCUUUACAUUAAGGAACAGUUUUUGACUUAAGCCUAUUUCGUCUCUUAUAAGAAGAUUAAAAGAAUUAAAGGGAAACCCAGUGACCCGUUCAGUGCAUUUAAUAUUAAGCCUAUGACACAUAGUUUCAUUUUGCACAGGGCCAGAAUAAGCAGAAGGACAUGAUUAUACACCUUUUAUGCUGCUCUUGAGGACUUCCAAGCCAGAAUGCCCUGCCUGCAUCCAUCUCCAGAGAAUCCCCAAAGCUAUGUAGCUGCAUACACGUGCCAUCAUCCACUGUUCUUGGAAAAAACAUCCUAUUUGAGUUGUAGCAGAGUAAUUAUUUCAAUAUAUGAAGAGGAGAGCUACCCUGGAUAUGCUGCAAAGGUUUUGAGGAGGUGGAAUGCGCCUGGGGCAUGAGUGGGAUGGGGCAUGUGAAGCCAUGGCCCCCUGCAAACCCUGUCCAAGGGCUCCUGCACAAGGGCUGGGCAAACCAGCACUUCCUUCAUCCAUGAUCCGGGUAGAUCCCGCUCCUCACAUCAGUGCAAUGGUGGCACAUUGGUGUAGGGGGCACGGAGGGGACAGGGGAUAUGGCCUUGAAAGCGGGGCCCUGCAGUGGAUCUGUGCCUGACAGCCUGCUCCCCAAGGCUGCAAGAGAAAAUGACAAAAGCACGGUGACUUCUUCGCACCGGGUGGUGCCUAAAGCCCUCGCCUUUCCAGCUGAGCCCCAGUAAUGCCGAACUGUAGUUUUUUUAAGGACUCCAUAGACACUACAGUAAAACAAUUCACUGGCUGACCUAAGCGGGGAUGUUUAAAGAAGUGCUCACAAUGUUCUUCUUCAAGCCCAUCAUAAAAGUCCCAGGCUAAUUCCCAAGUGCUUUUACAAUCCAUUUGCCUGAGUUGCUAGCAGGGAAAAAACUCCCAACUACAGUUUAUCUGCACGCUGUAGGAACAUACAGCUGCUUAAUAUCCCUCUCUGUUUGCAGCACCGUGUUUGUCCAAAAAAUACUUACAGUAAAUAUUGCCAAUCAUAAACAAUCCGUCAUGAAUUACCAAACUGUUUUCUUCACAUUGGGAGCAGCUGGUGUAUUGGGAUACUCUGCGAGAAUCACUGCUUGGAGAUGUGCCAUGUGAGCUAGGAACUGGGACGGGUUACUGGCCUGGUCUUGCUUUGAGUUGGGUUUAUGUGAGACAAUACCGUGUUUGGGUAGCUUGGCAUCGUUUUAAAUAUGUUUAGACAAAGGGUGAAAGUCGUGUAUUUCUGUGUCUAAUUAACCACUCCAGCACUGUGCAAGGAACCAGAAUUUAGCCCCACAAUAAAACCAACCCUCGAUAAUCCAUAUAUAUAUAUGUAUAUAUAUAUAGUCUAUGUUUUAUAUGAUUUAGGCUGCAAUUUCAGUUAAGUCAAUAAAUUAGCAGAUUCAAAUUAUCCAGUCACCGAGUUAAUACGGCAGAUAACCAGAAUAUAUACAUACUGAUGAGCUGGUGAACUGCAGCAGAGCUCAGCAGUAAGCAGGCGCCUUAGCAGGUUGCUUCAGUAAAAUCUUUUUAGAUUCUAUCUGCUUUUUCUUCCUGGUAGCAGAAAUUCUGCCUUCUCCUUUUGCCCUUUCCCCCCCUCGCCGCUUCUGUCACAGGAAUAAGGAAGUGCACAGGUACCCAUUCGUUUCGCUCAUGGAACACCACAAAAAUUACACACCACUACGUAAAUAAGUAGAGGGGCAGCAAAUAUGCUUUCUUCAAGCUCUGCGUCUGUUAUAAAGGGCCCCACAAGCAUUGAAAAGUGGAAAAAUCAGACUGAUGCAGCCCAAGAAGUUAGCUCUGCUGAGUCUUUCUCCUUUGCCUUGCCCUUAUAUCGCUCUUUACCUCUGUACUCAGCUUGCGUAAAUGUGAAUGAUCGGGAGAGCAACUCAAUGCUUCCAGGCCAAAGUUUAGGAAUGGGUUUAAAUUCAGAUCACAAUGUUUUGCAAUUUACUCUUGCCUUGUAAGUGUGCAAAUCAAUACACUAAGCGUAGGGCAGCGAAAUGCCGUUUGCAGCAAUUAACAUUAUAAUCCUGCAAGACAGUUAAAGGCAGGCAAAUUAUUUUGAUGGUAAUAAACACAUGUAAUGAUAUCAGCACUCUCUGGUGAAGUCACCAGAUCUUUGAGGUGGACCUACCUCCGGUUUUCCCUUGAAACAAAUGUCCCAAAAGACAAAUAUCUUAACUCUAGAAAUCAGAUUUUAUUAGAACAUAAAGGGAUACUUUUUUUUUUAAAGAAAUAAAGAACACUUCAAGUGAGGCAGAACAGAAAGUUUCUAAAUUAACUCCUUGUAGGGCAGGUUCUUUCUUUCAAAUGCUUCUCUCUGUCCCAUCCUGCUCUUUAAGGUGGUUCACCCAACUCAUUGUGCUUAGCAGCACCGAAGCAAAGCAUCUCGCCCCCUUUCCAUGGGUCCAGCCGUGGCUGCAGCAUCCAAGACAAGAGAGAGGCAGCCUUCCUCCCUGGUGCCAAACAACGCCCUGCGUGUUUUAUUAUAUAUCAUGUUCCAGGGAACAUGAUGCAUAGUAAAAAUGAGCAGAACAGGUACUACCCCUGCAGGCUGAAAUAGGAGGCCCCAUGGCUGUGGCUGCUUUGCCCUGCAGCAGUGGGUUAGAUGCUCUACUUUGUCCUGUUUCAAAUCGGGUAUCCAGGUAGGCAGGUCUUCACCAUAGGUGAAUGUAUUUGGCAAUUUUGUGUCUUGUGUUGCCUUGUGCAGGUUGUGAAGGAACUCUAGCAAAUCCAUAGCACAUAAGCAUAAUUUAUAACCAGCUACAUUCUCAGUAUUGCAAGGUAGAUAACUAUCACGGUCUUUGUUACCCGGGGUGUUGCAGCCUGGGUAACGUAAGGGAUGUUAGGUAUUCACUUGGAGACAGACGCAAGAGGCUGGUGAUUUCACACCAGAGCUUCUGUGUGCCUUCAGAGUUUGUGACCCAGGUGGAGGUCUGAUGAAGUAAACACCUCUCGUGUCCCAUGUGUGGGUUGCGUAAAAGGGAUGGGUGCAUAAACAUGAAUCUCACAAAGCACAUUACUUACCUAAUUUACGUACAGUUUCACCAAACUGAUUAAAACCAAAGCAGUGCUCUGUAUUUUACAUGAUUUAGGCUGCAAUUUCAGUUAAGUCAAUAAAUUAGCAGAUUUGAAUUAUCCAAGUUAACACAGCAGAUAACCAGAUUACAUAAUGAAAGAAGUAAUUCUUUUUUUUAACCUUAUCUUACAAUUUAAUGAAGGCCUAUUUUUCUUUUAAGCAGAAAAACCUAGCUACUAUUUAGCUAAUAAUGUAUUGACAUAGUUAACAUGUCACUGGCGGACCCUGUCAUUACUGGGCAUAGGUGGCUGUUGAAUAUUGAGUGUAUAUUUUGGUCUUAGGUCAGAUAAAUGAUCCAAGCAGCCAAGAAUUGUACCCGUGCUCAGCUCAGUGAAGUACAGUUAUACAGAUGCCUGUGUCACAUCUUUAAACCUCCCUGUUAAUAAACGUUAGCAGUUUUAUGUUGUUCUUUGCCAUCACUAUGCAAUAACACAGGAUCUUUUUGAAGAUUUAACAUGUAGAUAGAUGAUGGCUGAAUCAUCGCCAACAGCAGUUUGCAAAUAGCACUGGCUUUUUCACUGAGAAGAACAUACCAGUGACAGCGUGCUUUCCAUUUUUAGCAACUCAAAAUGACACGGUUCACCCUCCUCCUCUCUAACUGUGGCUUAAUGACACAAUAAAUCCAGCAUUAGGGUCUUUAGUAUCUGACCAGAUAUGCCCUAACCCACUAUGCAAGGUGCAGACCCAGCUUUCACUCAUCCUGUCAGUUAAAAUUUCUUGAAAAGUUUUGUUAAUGUUGUACUGCCACACUUAAUGCGAUUACAGCUACUGUCUCCCUGUGCCAUUUUCACUUUAUGUCAGAUCAGAUAGCAGCUAUCAGCUAUUAUAAAGCUCACAUGAACUCCAUACCAUAGAUGCUUAAUAAUUCAAUGGAAACGUGGCCACGUGCCCACACCUAACUGGAACCAAACCCAUAUGCUUGGGGAUCUGCUAGUGCAUGGAUCCAGUAAUAAAAAUGAUGGAAGCAGUCUUACACAUGCACUGCACACACACUAAAAAUAAGACAUGCUUUCACUGAGAAAAAGUUAAAAAUAAAAAGAUAAGACAGCUCUUUAAUUUUUUAGGAUCUGGCUCCUUAAGGUCACUCUGGGAUUUUACCAAACUGGGUGUUCUUCCAUAAGCAUGAAAGGCAGAGUGCAUAAGAGCCUUGGCUGAGAAAACUUAGCCCUGGCUUCUAGCUGAGAUUGCCAGUGCAAGACCUACAUCAGUAUCAAUUUUGUCUAAUAAAAAUAAUUAAAAUUUCUUUGGCACAGUAUUUCUUUACAUCCCUACUUUUCUUGUCAAUCACUGUCAUAUACUCAGCAUUUUUUAGGCACUCCAGAUUUUUGCUGUGAAGAAACAGAAGAAGUAAUAAUUUUUGGGCCCCUCAGUUCAAGAAGGAUAUCGAGUUGCUG